rnacentral:lncRNA from 1 species
GAAUCAGAUCUAAAGCUCUAAGUUGGAACCAUUGUUUCAUACCUGAGCUAUUUGAUCUAGAUUAGCACUCGGGGACCCUCCCUUAUGGUGCCGUUGGUAUUCCGUGAUCUUUAGCAUUAUCUGGUUAUUAUACAAGGAACUCAAAGCAAUCUCAGGAGAUGUUCCAUAAGACGUUGAUCACAAUACUAGGGCGGACCUGUGCCUUUGAGCCUAACAAUGAAGAUAGGCUAGUAUAAAUAUGUUAUGAACUUGGUAUUUCUUGUUUUGAAACAAUGUACUACUCUUGUUUAUAAAUAAAAUACAACUUGUAUGC